rnacentral:rRNA from 1 species
UACGGAGGGGGCUAGCGUUGUUCGGAAUUACUGGGCGUAAAGCGCGCGUAGGCGGCCCUGUGAGUCAGGCGUGAAAGUCCUGGGCUCAACCUGGGAACUGCGCUUGAUACGGCAGAGCUAGAGGAUGGAAGAGGGUCGCGGAAUUCCCAGUGUAGAGGUGAAAUUCGUAGAUAUUGGGAAGAACACCGGUGGCGAAGGCGGCGACCUGGUCCAUUACUGACGCUGAGGCGCGACAGCGUGGGGAGCAAACAGG